AGUAAAAAGUAAUUGGAAAUGAAUGACUGGAAUUGUCUCAUAGUAGAUACGGAAUGGUUACUGUAUUUGUGGUGUGUACAUAAAUAUUUGCUGUUGGUUUAUUCAAGGCAAGGAAUAUUACGGGGAAGAUGAAUCUGCAACAAAUAAUCAAAAGCAUCAGUUGCCAAUUGCCAUUCUAAAAAAAAAAAACAAAAGCUAUUCAGAAUGCGACGGCAACGCGCCAAGUGGUGGGGCGACAACAGGAGAUGAGUUUCACCUCUCGUGGAUCGAGGAGAUUAGAGUCGCCACCAUCAGUUAGCAACCGCCACCACCACCACCUCACGUCGUUUCCUGCGGCCAUGACCACCGAUUCAAAGCUUUGUCCCAUCCACACAACAGGAAUCUCAUUUCAGAUGAAUCUCUUAAAAAUUGUUCCGGAAGGCACGCGCAGAUAGGUCAGAUCAAGUACUUCUGGAGAUCGUGGCAAGGCGAAGGCGUGAUCGUACCGCUCCUCAUGUUUUAUGAUUUAUGUGAUAUUGUUAUGGGGGAUACUCUGAUGUUUAAACUAUUUUGAGAACAAGAUGUAUGAGCUUAAUGGUUUUUGGAAUGCGAUAAAAUGUUUUAAUUUGGCUCUAA